CCGCUAUUGGAGUUCGAUUAAGCCAUGCGAGUCGAGAGUCCUCGGGACUCGGCGUACCGCUCAGUAACACGUGGGUAACCUGCCCUAUGCUGGGGAAUAACCUCGGGAAACUGAGAAUAAUGCCCCAUAGCCCACUACGCCUGGAACGGUGAGUGGGUCAAAGCCCCGGCGGCAUAGGAUGGGCCUGCGCCGUAUCAGGUUGUAGGGGGUGUAAAGUACCCUCUAGCCAUCAACGCGUACGGGUGUUGGGAGACAUUGCCCGGAGAUGGAUUCUGAGACACGAAUCCAGACCCUACGGGGUGCAGCAGGCGCGAAAACUUGGCAAUGCGAGCAAUCGUGACCAGGGAACUCCAAGUGCGUAGGGUAAGACCUACGCUUUUCUUGACUCUUCAAAGGUCUUGGAAUAAGGGGUGGGUAAGGACGGUGCCAGCCGCCGCGGUAAUACCGGCGCCUCAAGUGGUAGUCGCUUUUAUUGGGCCUAAGACGUCCGUAGCCGGUCUGGUGCAUUCGUGGGUAAAUCAACCCGCUCAACGGGUUGAAUUCUGCGAGCACGGCCAGACUUGGGACCGGGAGAGGUGUGGGGUACUCUCAGGGUAGGGGUAAAAUCCUGUCAUCCUGAGAGGACCACCUGUUGCGAAGGCGCCACACUAGAACGGAUCCGACGGUCAGGGACGAAACCUAGGGGCACGAACCGGAUUAGAUACCCGGGUAGUCCUAGGUGUAAACGCUGUGGACUUGAUGUUGGGGGCGCUCCGAGCGCUCUCAGUGUCGAAGCGAAGGUGAUAAGUCCACUGCCUGGGGAGUACGGUCGCAAGGCUGAAACUUAAAGGAAUUGGCGGGGGAGCACUGCAACCUGAGGAUUGUGCGG
rnacentral:rRNA from 1 species